UCCCCCUCACUCACAGUUAAACACUCACACUCAACAAGCACACACACGCUAAAACAAAAUGGAAGAAAAAUAAAAGAAAGAAGAAAGGGAAAGGGGGAAUAGGGAGGUCCGAGAGGGGGAGAGCGCCGGGGAUGAGUGAGCUGCGACGGGAAAGAAGGGAAGAGAGAAGAGAGGGGAUCUGAGAAAGAGGAGAGAAGGCAGCGCUGCUGUCACCGCUAGAAACGCGAGGAGAGGGAGUCGCGCCGCUCAGUCACGCCACCGCCCGUGAAGCCACCGAUGUCAGCCGCGUCGUUGCUGUGGUCGCUGGUUUCCAUCACCGUCAAGGCUGGUCGCGUGCAAAAGAAAUAGAAGAGGCCUCUGUCGCUAUUGAGCAAAACGCAGGAGAGAGAAGGAGCCCGCGGGAGAGGAGCUUGUUGCCGCCGCUGCCAUGGCUUCCUCGCCGUCGCCGUGGUUGGGUAGUCACCGGAGGGAGCCGCUGUUGGGGUUACUGCCGCUUCGCUUUUGCCGCCAAGGAAUGCCGCUUCCAUCGUCGACAACUCUGUCGCCGCCGUCAGCAGAGUUCUGAUCGCUGUUGGAGCUUGUCGGAGCCGCUGCAGUUUUGUUUCCCCACUUAGCCUCGAUUUUAGUAAGUUUUUUUACUCCGAAAACUAGUUUAGUCGAUGUUCUGUUUUCCUAUGCUGAGGUGUUGCAACGUUGUCUAUCAUAGGGUUGAGUAUCAGUGCUUGCAUGUCAUGCUCGAAAUUUUUGGCUGCUUCGUUUUGCUAUUUCAGUUCGAGUUAUGAAUAUUGCAUGUUGCAUAAAUGUUGUUGUGGUUGCUGAAAGAAUGGUUUGAGCUGAGAUUUGUGGCUUCCAUUGAUCGCAAGCCGAGAGAAAGGACUUUUCUGUUAUGCGUUGGGUUAUGGGAUUCGACUUAUCGAGGUAGAGGUCUUUUCAAAGAACUUAAUUUAAUGAUUUGGAGUUGUUAUAAAUGGAUAUUAAUGUGAUAAAUGUACUUUUGGUGAUUGUAUAAGCCUUAUGUAUUGUUGGGCUGUUUUGUGAUGAAUGUAUUUGUGGUUGGAUUGGAUUGUUGUUUGAUUUGGUUAUAUGAUUGGUUGUUGAAAUAUUUCAUUACAAUUUUGGAAAACGAGUUGGUUCAUUGAAAAUGGAUUGAGUUUGGAUUCGAUCUCUUGAAUUAUAAGAAGGAUAUGAAUUUUUGAAAUUAGUCUGAUUUCAAACUGAUUUGGUUUUGAACCCGCGGAAGAGAUUGUAUACUGGUUUGGUUGGGACCCAAAACGGGUGGCAAAGUCCAAGUUUUAGGGGAGGUGUUGCCGAAAUUUUAUGAAAUUCAAGAUUUUGUUUUCAAACAUGAUUUAGAAAAGGAUUGGAUUCAAGAGGUUCUAUUGUUUGGUUCUUGAUUUAUUAAGAAACAGGUGAUUCAAGUUUAAUCUUUUAAGGAAACUUAUGUUUUAAGUUUGAUUUAAACAUGAGAGGACCUAUGUUUUGUGGUUUGGUCAAAGAAGUACCCUUGGAGGAUUUUUAGCAGAUUUUAAAGAAAAUUGAACUUUGAUUACUUAAUUUUGCAUUGCUUUUGAAGUAUUCUUUAAAUUUUAACUAAACAAAUCCAAGCCUUUGGAAAAGUUUCCGAUUUAAGAAUGAAAAGAAAUUGGAUUUUUGGACUUAAAUAAUGUUGGUUUUGAAACUGGUUCGGAACUUUUGGCCUACAUGCCUUAGUUUUGGUUUUAAGUCUCCAUUUUAAAUGAUUUCAAUUUCAGUAAUUAUGAUUCCGAGGAUUUCUAAAGAGUUUAAGAAGUGAGGCAGGUUAUUCUUCCCUAAAGUCUUGUGUCUUCUCAAAGAAAGUUCCGUUUUCAGGUGAUGAUUGAAAGUCUCUUGGAAGUUUUGUAAAAUGUUAUAUUAAGUGACUAAGAUUUGAAAAGGAAUUAAUUUUGAGGAAAGUUGAAUUAUGAGUUUGAAGAGAUUUGAGAAAUAAAAGGUGACUUAUGGCUUGAAUAAUGAUUGGUUUGAUAUGAAUUGUUAAUGAAAUGCGGAAAUGAUGAUGGAUGAAUGAUUAUGAAUAAACAUAUGUCGCUUCCGCACGUUUAUCUGAGAUACGAGUUCCCUAGGUAAAGAACUGUGGCUUCCCAUCAUGUGUUUCAGGUUGGAUCUCGAUACUCUGUUGACCCUACGUCGUAAGGGUGACCGGACACGUAUAAAUUCCCGGGUAUGGAUAGCCCCCAGUGAGUGAUUUGAAUGAUGUAUGAAUGUAAAAUCUAUGCAUAGACUCAUGGGGAUACGCGACGGGGGACAGACUAAGGACAAUUCAAACUUGUCGGGUUGGCUGGAUAACCGACAGAUGAGCCUCAUCAGCCAUAGGAAAGGCAUGCAUCAUAUGCAUUUGUAUGCUUUGUUUGGGUUUGAACUUGUUUGGGUUUGCCUAAUUGCUAAACUGUUCUUAACUGCUACUUGAACUAUUUGCUGUAACUGCUACCUACUUGUGCUUUCCUUGUCUGUCUUGCCUGUUUUUGUCCUGACGUGCUACAUUUGAGAAUGAACUUUGGUGCUGAAUUAAUGAUUGUGUUGUUGAUUGCGUGGUUGGUUUCUGAUUGAGAUUUUCUUUUAAGAAAGAAAAAGUUUCAGAUUUCUGAAAGAUUAAAAAUUGUUUCUACUGAAAAGGUUUUGAACGUAUACUUAUUGGUUUUUAAAAGAUUCAUAAGGCAAUGAUAAUCACUGAGUUUGAAAAUAGUUUUCUUAUUAAAUAUCUUCUUAUGACAACUUUGAAAUUUCGUGGUGAGACCGUGUGGUUAGGUUCUCACCCCCUACAGCUUUACCUUUUAAGGAACUAGAAGAAGAAGCAUUAGGAGGAGUUAUAUUACGUUUGGUUUAUAUGUUGUUGAAUUAAUUAGAUUAUUUUCUUCCCUUGUCUUUGUUAUUACAAUUUUGUAAGAGAGAUAGGAAUUGUAUGUUUUUUAUAUAUUAUAUUAUAAGAUAUUAUGUAAGAAGUCUUGUAUUUGAAUCUAUAUGUUUGUUUUUUUUAGAUAACGUUUUUAUUUCCAGUUUUCAAAGAAAUUAGCGAUACGGUGUUGAGUCACAGGCUCCUAUUUUAAUAUUAAGUAUAUAAAGUAGUCUUAAUACUUCUUGCUAUCAGAGUUGCGCAGCCGGAAGCGUGACUUUCUGAUAGUGAGGGUGUUACAUUAUGGUAUCAGAGCGGUCCUUCCUGUAGAGCCUGAGAAAUGGACCGACUAUGCUUCAAUUGCAUACUCUGAGAGUCUAUCAUGUAUUAGGUCUUGUUUGAAUAAUGAGAAUUAGAAUUUUAUGCACAUGAUUGCCUAUUAAUUAACAUUGUUAGCUUACCGUUGCAUAUCUGUUGAUGUUAAGUCUGGCCAACUUAAUAUUGAUGGCUUAUGUGAACGGGAAAGUUAAUAGGUUAUUAUAGGCGAAAAGGAAUUGAUAAGUAAUGGGUAAUGCAAGUCACGUGGUUCACAAAUUCUAGGGUUCGCUUUUCGUGCUUGGUUUCGAUUUAUGAUUCUUGUUUAUGUCGCUUAGGUUGGCAUAUCAUUUCUUUUUUUUACUAUCCUCAUUGAAGUUUCUUGACUCGGAUUCCUUUCUUGAACCAUGAUUGAUCAUUCUUCGACCAUAUUUCAUUAUUCGUCCAUAAUCUUGUUUGAUUGUAUUCUUAAGAAUCUGUUUGAGUCUUUUAAAAAAAUAUCUAUCUUUACCAUUGAUUAUACUCCUCUUCAGGAAUCCUGUGCUCAUUGAUCUGAUCUUGAACUUGUUUUGACAUGAUGCAUGAUCCUUAAAUCUCUAGUGAUUUGAACCUUAAAAAUUAUGAUUUGAACUCAGCUAACUUUGUAAAUUGAUACUUUUGCUUCAUGUCUAAUGUAUACCUUGAACUUACCAUAUUCUUGAUUAUUUUCUAAAUUCUCGGCAUCAUAAGUCCUGACCUUGAAUUUCUCUACGUAAUCUGCGUAUCUCCUUGACGUAAUCUGAGCUUAUUUUGGAUUGGAAAAGUUUUGAAUUAAUCUUUUUCCUACUUAAUUGUGUUUCCCAAUCAUCCUUCAAAUUUUUGGAUGAGAUUACUUUUAAAAUAAGCAUAUACUUUCCUACAUGGAUUCUAAGAUUUCUUUUUAUGUUUUAAAUCUGUUUAUCUGCAAAGCUUCGCCUAUUCUUCUAUAGAAAAUAAUUUUU